UACGUAGGGGGCGAGCGUUGUUCGGAAUUACUGGGCGUAAAGGGCGCGUAGGCGGCCUGCUAAGUCAUACGUGAAAUCCCUCGGCUCAACCGAGGAACUGCGUCUGAUACUGGUUGGCUUGAAUUCGGGAGAGGGAUGCGGAAUUCCAGGUGUAGCGGUGAAAUGCGUAGAUAUCUGGAGGAACACCGGUGGCGAAGGCGGCAUCCUGGACCAACACUGACGCUGAGGAGCGAAAGCCAGGGGAGCAAACGGG
rnacentral:rRNA from 1 species